UACGGGGGGGGCAAGCGUUGUUCGGAAUUACUGGGCGUAAAGGGCUCGUAGGCGGCCAACUAAGUCAGACGUGAAAUCCCUCGGCUUAACCGGGGAACUGCAUCUGAUACUGGAUGGCUUGAAUCCGGGAGAGGGAUGCGGAAUUCCAGGUGUAGCGGUGAAAUGCGUAGAUAUCUGGAGGAACACCGGUGGCGAAGGCGGCAUCCUGGACCGGCAUUGACGCUGAGGCGCGAAAGCCAGGGGAGCAAACGGG
rnacentral:rRNA from 1 species